UACGGGGGGGGCAAGCGUUGUUCGGAAUUACUGGGCGUAAAGGGCUCGUAGGCGGCCAACUAAGUCAUACGUGAAAUCCCUCAGCUUAACUGGGGAACUGCGUGUGAUACUGGAUGGCUUGGAUUUGGGAGAGGGAUGCGGAAUUCCAGGUGUAGCGGUGAAAUGCGUAGAUAUCUGGAGGAACACCGGUGGCGAAGGCGGCAUCCUGGACCGGUAUUGACGCUGAGGCGCGAAAGCCAGGGGAGCAAACGGG
rnacentral:rRNA from 1 species